rnacentral:rRNA from 1 species
AGGUUUCGGCCAAAUGAUAGGAAUGCUUAGUGGCGGACUGGUGAGUAACGCGUGAGGAACCUGCCUUCCAGAGGGGGACAACAGUUGGAAACGACUGCUAAUACCGCAUGAUACGUUUUAGGGGCAUCCCUGAGACGUCAAAGAUUUAUCGCUGAAAGAUGGCCUCGCGUCUGAUUAGCUAGUUGGUGAGGUAACGGCCCACCAAGGCGACGAUCAGUAGCCGGACUGAGAGGUUGACCGGCCACAUUGGGACUGAGAUACGGCCCAGACUCC